CAGAUAAGAACAAAGAUUAAAUUGUAAGAAGGGUUGCUUAUAAAAGCAUACAGUACAUCUGAAACUGCUGAGACUGGUAAGGUUUUUGACUAUAUUUCCGACCAGAUCAGCUGCUAUAGAAGACAAACUGAAAUCUGAGUGUAGAGACAAGCAAAGGAAUACUGCAAGACACUACUGACUAGGCUGUGCCCAGGUCUCCGGAACCUGCGACGACGCUCAGCUCCAUUGGCCCUUAGUCUGCGGCUUCGGAUCCACCAGCUCUGUCUCCAUCGGUCGCCCCCCAGAUGUCGGCAGCCACACCAUCUACAUCUUGGCUCCUCCCUCCCUCGACUCCGCCGUGUGUUGUCAGCACUGGGAUGCUCUGGGUCUGUGCCAUGUGCCAAACACCAUCUAAGCCGCCAGGGCAUCAUC